rnacentral:tRNA from 1 species
GGCGAUUGAUGGAAUUGGUAUCCUGCCGUCCUUAGAAGUCGGAUAAGGGGGUUCAAGCCCCCUGUCGCCA